CUAGUGCUAAACAUGCUUGGAACCAGCCUAGGUGAGGAGAAUGGAAGCCUCUACAGUGAGGCUGUGGAUGCGAUGGGAUAGGUCCUAGUAUUCCUACUCUAUGGGAGGUGGAAUUCCUUAUUGUGGCCAGUUGUGAAUGGCAAAGGCCACUCAAAGGUACUGAAUCAAUGCUAGUUAAUAGGUGAAGCUUAUGUGGCCAUUCACAUUCUCGCUUCAUCGCUUUCUUUUUGGGACAAGGGUGUUAUUGUCUCCUUUCGUAUACUUUUGCUGGCGUCCUGGUUGCUUUCCAUCUAUGGUGUGGAUCUUUGCUCCUUAACCUCCCUCGG
rnacentral:lncRNA from 1 species